AUUGAACGCUGGCGGCAUGCCUUACACAUGCAAGUCGAACGGCAGCACGGGAGCAAUCCUGGUGGCGAGUGGCGAACGGGUGAGUAAAGUAUCGGAACGUGCCCAGUCGUGGGGGAUAACGUAGCGAAAGUUACGCUAAUACCGCAUACGAUCUAUGGAUGAAAGCGGGGGAUCGCAAGACCUCGCGCGAUUGGAGCGGCCGAUAUCAGAUUAGGUAGUUGGUGGGGUAAAGGCUCACCAAGCCGACGAUCUGUAGCUGGUCUGAGAGGACGACCAGCCACACUGGGACCGAGACACGGCCCAGACUCCUACGGGAGGCAGCAGUGGGGAAUUUUGGACAAUGGGCGAAAGCCUGAUCCAGCCAUGCCGCGUGCAGGAUGAAGGCCUUCGGGUUGUAAACUGCUUUUGUACGGAACGAAAAGGUUUGGGCUAAUAAGCUGAGCUCAUGAUGGUACCGUAAGAAUAAGCACCGGCUAACUACGUGCCAGCCGCCGCAGUAA
rnacentral:rRNA from 1 species